rnacentral:rRNA from 1 species
CCUACGGGAGGCAGCAGUAGGGAAUCUUCCACAAUGGGCGAAAGCCUGAUGGAGCAACGCCGCGUGAGUGAUGAAGGCCUUCGGGUUGUAAAACUCUGUCAUUCGGGACGAACCGGAGUCUGAGGAAAUGCAGACUCUCUGACGGUACCGGAGGAGGAAGCCCCGGCUAACUACGUGCCAGCAGCCGCGGUAAUACGUAGGGGGCAAGCGUUGUCCGGAUUCACUGGGCGUAAAGCGCGCGCAGGCGGUGAUGUAAGUCUGAGGUGAAAACCCGAAGCUCAACUUCGGGACUGCCUUGGAUACUGCGUCACUUGAGGAUAGGAGAGGCAAGGGGAAUUCCACGUGUAGCGGUGAAAUGUGUAGAGAUGUGGAGGAACACCUGUGGCGAAGGCGCCUUGCUGGCCUAUUUCUGACGCUGAGGCGCGAAAAGCGUGGGGAGCAAACAGGAUUAGAUACCCUGGUAGUCCACGCUGUAAACGAUGAGUGCUAGGUGUAGGUGGGCUCAUACCCAUCUGUGCCGAAAGCUAACGCAUUAAGCAUCCGCCUUGGGGAGUUACGGUUCGCAAGACUUGAAACUUCAAAAGGAAUUGACGGCNGAGAGNGCGAGGACGACACGAGGAGAG